UGAGACCCCAGCUCAAAGACGACACACGGAGAAGGGAGCCAAGCAGCACUGACCGAUGUGGGCAGCGUUAUUGCCGACCAGGAAUUUGUCCCUGGACUUCCCCUCCGCACUGCUCCAUGCUCACCUUCCUCUUCUCGGGGGUCUCCACCAGCUGCCAGCUGUUGGCCUUGAGGUGGUAGAGUUCAUCGAACUUCAUGCUGAUAUCCUCGAUGGACAGCUGUAGCAGGUCCCAGAACCCUGCCAGGUCCUGGGCUGUGGGGCGUGGGUUGGCAUCAGGGUUCUGUGGGCCAGAUGGGGAUCAGUGGGGCCAGCUCAGCAGAGGCUUGUCCUGCUCCCCCCAACCCCCCAACAAGCAGGGUUCCUCUGGGCCCUGCCAGCACCCGCGGGGGCUCUUGAGGCCUAGUGUCUGGGGAAGAAACAGAAGUUCUUGGCCAUGGUGUGACAGUGACACCGAGAGAAGCCCGAUUCACUCCCAGGUUUCUGCUCACAGGUCACCUGGCCAGGGAUGCCCUCCCUGACCACCCUGAAUGCAACAGCAACACCGACCCUGCCUGUGCAGUGGACACUAUACUGCUCUUACCCUUCCUGGUUAU
rnacentral:lncRNA from 10 species